rnacentral:rRNA from 1 species
GACAGAGGGUGCAAACGUUGUUCGGAAUCACUGGGCGUAAAGGGCGCGUAGGCGGCGUUUUAAGUCGGGGGUGAAAGCCUGUGGCUCAACCACAGAAUGGCCUUCGAUACUGGGACGCUUGAGUAUGGUAGAGGUUGGUGGAACUGCGAGUGUAGAGGUGAAAUUCGUAGAUAUUCGCAAGAACACCGGUGGCGAAGGCGGCCAACUGGACCAUUACUGACGCUGAGGCGCGAAAGCGUGGGGAGCAAACAGG